ACCUUUGAACAUCCUGUCUCAUCCAUAGCUUUCUGCUCCACCCUGAUUAAUUUCAGUGUUUUGGGGAGGAGGGAGGAGGAAAGGUUGGGAAUGAACAGGCAUAUUGCCUAGAAGAGAACAUUUUUAGCUUUCUUGUGGCCUGCUAAUUUGAGAGUGAAACUCAUUUCCCAUUAACAGAAGGGUCACAUUACUGCACGUUUUAUUGCCCAAAUGAAGGCAAGGUCAAAGAUUCCUCUAUUGGAUGCUCCCUUAUCUGUUUUCUUGCCUUCAGUCUGAAGAAGAAGAGGCUGAGGAUGGGGGUAAGGUUGCUAUAAUAGCUGCCUUACACAAGAUCAUCCUGUGCAAGAAGAAUUAGGUCUGUUCUGCCUGGCCCAAGGGAGAAGAAUUCAGAGCCAAUACCACAGAGUACUCCUGGGAGCCCACAGAGGACCUGAAGUUUCUCUUCCACAAGAAUCCUGAGAAAUCUCUGGAGAAGGAAGGGUGAUCUUUCCUCCUCAGCUUAAAACUACAAACUUCCAACUUCUCUUGCAACCUGGGGAUCAUGGCACAACUGAUGGGCAAGCUCAACAUCUGCUGGAUGCUGCAGCUGCUCUCUUCAGAUCUCAUUUCUCUCCUUCAAGCAUAACUCCUCAUUAACUUAGGGACAGCUCUACAACCCCUCCCAGCAUGAAGAACCUUCAGAAGAACAGAGACCCUCAUCCCUUUUCCAAAAGAAUUUGGGGUUAAUUGUUUGAGGGGGGAGAUGAUGCAAGUGAACUCUGUAUGACUUAAGUGAGCUCAGUAAAAUUAUGUAAAAUCACAAAAAACAUGUCCCCUUUGAUUCACAACCCAAAUGGUCUCCCAUCCUCUCAAGAGUGAGAAAGUGAGAUAAUCAAAUCAAUCAAAAGCAAAUCAAAGUCGUAUUGAUCUUGUCCAGAAGUCACACCCCUAGGCAAGAUUUCACAUUCAAUUGAGACUUCUCAAACUUCCCCUAAACUUACACAUAAAAUGGGUCUUCAAAAAUGAUUCUUUGCAGAUCUCUCCCUUGAGAAAGAUAUAGUGGCUGAGAGAAUCCCUCUUGGUGUUUCUUUAACAAUAAAGCCUCUUUGCCAUA